rnacentral:rRNA from 1 species
CCUACGGUGUGCUGCAGUGAGGAAUAUUGGUCAAUGGCCGGAAGGCUGAACCAGCCAAGCCGCGUGAAGGACGAAGGUGCCAAGCAUUGUAAACUUCUGUCAGCAGGGAAGAACGGUCACUGUGCUAAUCAGCAGUGAAUUGACGGUACCUGCAAAGGAAGCACCGGCUAACUCCGUGCCAGCAGCCGCGGUAAUACGGAGGGUGCGAGCGUUAAUCGGAAUUACUGGGCGUAAAGCGCUCGUAGGCGGUAUGUCAAGUCAAGGGUGAAAUCCCCGGGGUCAACGUGGGAACUGCCUUUGAAACUGGCAAACUGGAGUGUGUGAGAGGAUAGUGGAAUUCCAGGUGUAGGAGUGAAAUCCGUAGAUAUCUGGAGGAACAUCAGUGGCGAAGGCGACUAUCUGGCACAUAACUGACGCUGAGGAGCGAAAGCGUGGGUAGCAAACAGGAUUAGAUACCCCAGUAGUC